UGGGGAAUAUUGCACAAUGGGCGCAAGCCUGAUGCAGCCAUGCCGCGUGUAUGAAGAAGGCCUUCGGGUUGUAAAGUACUUUCAGUCGGGAGGAAGGUGGUAAGGUUAAUAACCUUGGCAAUUGACGUUACCGACAGAAGAAGCACCGGCUAACUCCGUGCCAGCAGCCGCGGUAAUACGGAGGGUGCAAGCGUUAAUCGGAAUUACUGGGCGUAAAGUGCACGCAGGCGGUUGAUUGAGUCAGAUGUGAAAUCCCCGGGCUUAACCCGGGAAUUGCAUCUGAUACUGGUCAGCUAGAGUCUUGUAGAGGGGGGUAGAAUUCCAUGUGUAGCGGUGAAAUGCGUAGAGAUGUGGAGGAAUACCGGUGGCGAAGGCGGCCCCCUGGACAAAGACUGACGCUCAGGUGCGAAAGCGUGGGGAGCAAACAGG
rnacentral:rRNA from 1 species